rnacentral:rRNA from 1 species
AUUGAACGCUGGCGGCAGGCUUAACACAUGCAAGUCGAGCGGGGGAAGGUAGCUUGCUACUGGACCUAGCGGCGGACGGGUGAGUAAUGCUUAGGAAUCUGCCUAUUAGUGGGGGACAACAUUCCGAAAGGAAUGCUAAUACCGCAUACGUCCUACGGGAGAAAGCAGGGGACCUUCGGGCCUUGCGCUAAUAGAUGAGCCUAAGUCGGAUUAGCUAGUUGGUGGGGUAAAGGCCUACCAAGGCGACGAUCUGUAGCGGGUCUGAGAGGAUGAUCCGCCACACUGGGACUGAGACACGGCCCAGACUCCUACGGGAGGCAGCAGUGGGGAAUAUUGGACAAUGGGGGGAACCCUGAUCCAGCCAUGCCGCGUGUGUGAAGAAGGCCUUAUGGUUGUAAAGCACUUUAAGCGAGGAGGAGGCUACUAGUAUUAAUACUACUGGAUAGUGGACGUUACUCGCAGAAUAAGCACCGGCUAACUCUGUGCCAGCAGCCGCGGUAAUACAGAGGGUGCGAGCGUUAAUCGGAUUUACUGGGCGUAAAGCGUGCGUAGGCGGCCAUUUAAGUCAAAUGUGAAAUCCCCGAGCUUAACUUGGGAAUUGCAUUCGAUACUGGAUGGCUAGAGUAUGGGAGAGGAUGGUAGAAUUCCAGGUGUAGCGGUGAAAUGCGUAGAGAUCUGGAGGAAUACCGAUGGCGAAGGCAGCCAUCUGGCCUAAUACUGACGCUGAGGUACGAAAGCAUGGGGAGCAAACAGGAUUAGAUACCCUGGUAGUCCAUGCCGUAAACGAUGUCUACUAGCCGUUGGGGCCUUUGAGGCUUUAGUGGCGCAGCUAACGCGAUAAGUAGACCGCCUGGGGAGUACGGUCGCAAGACUAAAACUCAAAUGAAUUGACGGGGGCCCGCACAAGCGGUGGAGCAUGUGGUUUAAUUCGAUGCAACGCGAAGAACCUUACCUGGCCUUGACAUACUAGAAACUUUCCAGAGAUGGAUUGGUGCCUUCGGGAAUCUAGAUACAGGUGCUGCAUGGC